rnacentral:rRNA from 1 species
GACGUAGGGGGCGAGCGUUAUUCGGAAUUAUUGGGCGUAAAGAGCUCGUAGGUGGCCUGUCGCGUCGGCUGUGAAAACUCGGGGCUCAACUCCGAGCUUGCAGUCGAUACGGGCAGGCUAGAGUUCGGCAGGGGAGACUGGAAUUCCUGGUGUAGCGGUGAAAUGCGCAGAUAUCAGGAGGAACACCGGUGGCGAAGGCGGGUCUCUGGGCCGAUACUGACACUGAGGAGCGAAAGCGUGGGGAGCGAACAGG